GGAGCGGUGUCCGAGCUGGCCGAAGGAGCAGCACUGGAAAUGCUGUAGCGGGGUAACUCGCUCCUGGGUUCGAAUCCCAGCCGCUCCGCCA
rnacentral:tRNA from 1 species